rnacentral:rRNA from 1 species
GAUGAACGCUGGCGGCGUGCCUAAUACAUGCAAGUCGAGCGAAUGGAUUAAGAGCUUGCUCUUAUGAAGUUAGCGGCGGACGGGUGAGUAACACGUGGGUAACCUGCCCAUAAGGCUGGGAUAACUCCGGGAAACCGGGGCUAAUACCGGAUAACAUUUUGAAUCGCAUGGUUCGAAAUUGAAAGGCGGCUUCGGUUGUCACUUAUGGAUGGACCCCCGUCGCAUUAGCCAGUUGGUGAGGUAACGGCUCACCAAGGCAACGAUGCGUAGCCGACCUGAGAGGGUGAUCGGCCACACUGGGACUGAGACACGGCCCAGACUCCUACGGGAGGCAGCAGUAGGGAAUCUUCCGCAAUGGACGAAAGUCUGACGGAGCAACGCCGCGUGAGUGAUGAAGGCUUUCGGGUCGUAAAACUCUGUUGUUAGGGAAGAACAAGUGCUAGUUGAAUAAGCUGGCACCUUGACGGUACCUAACCAGAAAGCCACGGCUAACUACGUGCCAGCAGCCGCCGUAA